CUCAUAAUCAGAAUCCCUGAUGUCCUCUGCUUCAUGGGUGGGAUAGACUGCCCGAGAGAAUCCCAGUUUCCUCUAUGGUCAUCCUGUUCACCGACCAGCCGCAUCAGAAUUAGCUGGUGAGAAAACUGAGGCCCAGGGAGCUAGAAGGUGGAGCUUCCAGAACUUAAAUAUGAGCUCUCUUGUUCUAGGUUGGGCAUUUUUCUGCUCCAUCAUGAACUGAGCUGCAAAAAGCCCAGAGGCAAGAUGCCAACACUGAGGAUUCUGGAAGCCACAUUCCAGAAGAAGCUUUUGAAGAAAUUGGAGAUGCUUGGCCUGAAAGAGAGAAGCUUUUAGAGGUGCUCAAGAAAAAAACUUGAGCUAUUGUCAAAUAUCUGAAACCUGUCAGAUGGAAGAGGGAAGAGACUUCCUUAUGGCUGUAGAGGGCAGAUCUAGGACUAAUUGACUGAAAUUGUGUAUGAAGCCAGAGGGUAAAUAUAAAAUCAUGUCUGAAAGAGUGACGAGGCUUGAGCCACAGCACCGUGUCCAGAGAGGUCAACAAAGUGAUGGAACCCAGAGCAAGAGAGAGCCAUCCCAGCCAUGGUUUCUAGACGGGUCUCUCAUCUCAUUGCUUGCUAUUAGUGGUGAUGGUCCUGUGGGUCAAUUUUCUUUCUGGAGGAGAACUAGCAAAUCUUCACAGGAACUCUGGCAACCCUGUAAUCCAGCUGACUGCUGUGUGAAAGAUCGGCCAAGAGAUCAGAGUUUAGGAGAAUGAAAAGGGCUCGCAGCCACUUGCCCUGAAGAACAUGAGCCCGUGGAGAAUCCAGGAAAUGAAAAUAAAAUGCCCAGUUUGAAUAGGGAGCCAACGAGACAAAUCUUGUCUACGGUUUGGUGUUAAAUGAUGCCCUUAAUCCCCUGCUCUUGGGACCUGGUAUCUCUGCUGAACUUUGAUCAGCCUUGGCUCAGAGUCUUUGCCUUCCCUGCACUGAUGUUCAGGGCUGUUUGCAGGCACAGUAAAUAUUUGUCCUGUCAAAUGGCAUUUGGCUCUUCACAUGUCUUGUUUAAGAGAUAAAUGUCAGGGAUUUCUUCUCUCUCUCUCUCCUCUCUCUCUCUCUCUCUCUCUUUAGUGGGGAUCACAAGGAGAUAUACGUACAUUAAUAUCAUUUCUACUUCCCUACCAACUGUAAGCCACAGAUAAAGACUUAUAUCAUCAGAGUUCUCAUCUCCUGAUUGGGUUUGUGUCAAGUAAAAGUGAAGUCACCCCCGCCUCAGUGAUAUACGUGUUAUCAAGAGCACAGCCUGUUCCAGACCAGAAGCAAUUUCGUUCUGACAUGUCUCUGUUAUUAAAAAGUUAAGGAAAGUAGAGAAGGGAAUACAAAGAUUAGAUCUUUCAAAGAUGAAACUACAAAGUUAAUGGCACUGGGCCAUCUGUUUGGAGAGGUGAGGAAAUCUACAGUGACUGGGAUUUCAGGAGGAGGAGAUACAGGGAAUCUACAGAAAGGAAAAAAGGAAGGAAAGAAGAAAAAAAAAAGACCACUUUUGCCCUAUAGAUAUUAUGUAAAGAUUACAGGGAUAAAGAGUUAUAAUCAGUUAGGAAGGAGCAAAAGCAUUGGGGUAAUGGAAGACCAUCCCCUUUAUCCCCGCCACAAAUUAAAAGAACAUGACUGGAAAUGACGACUUCAUACUUUCCUAACUGCACAUUUAUAAAUGGCAAAGGAUGCAUGGCAAAGUUAGUAAGAGGUCUUUUUGUAUGUGCUUUUGGGCAACUGGGACAAUGAUUCUGAUUGACCUUUGGGAACUUUUUUUAGUUGAGGAAAGAGGUGUGGUGAGAAGCAGUAAGGAAAUGUACUAAUCCUGGAGGAGGGGGUUAUGUGCUUGCAAUAGUUGUACUUUGCCCACUGCCACUGGGGAGAGAGUCACAUAACAGUAAUCAUCACUCUUGUGACGCUUAUGUGCCCUCACUCUGCAACUAGUCCCCUCAUUAAACUCCCUUUCAUCACCCUCUUGGAGUGUUCCGGUUUCUUCCAGGAUCCUAAUCUAUACCAAAGGCUGUGCUGAAGAAGAGACUUUGAAUUAGAAACUAACCAAGGGAAAGAAUUGGUGGUGGGGAGAGGGUCCCAAAUAGAACAUGUUCAAAUUCUGUUGGCUAGAGUGAGCCAGACAUAUUUAAGAAACUAGAAUGAGGCUGGGGAGGUAGGUCAGGACCCAGGGCCUGGUGUACAGCUGUGUAGGCUGAGUACUGCACAACUUCAAGGGUAGUCUUCAUCCAGAAGGCUGAUGUGAAUGGUAGCCUCUGAAUUUGGACAAUGUGGUAGCCCAACUGGGGCCAGUUCUCGCUGAAUCUUAAAAGCCAAAAUAAAUAAUUUACUAAGUAUUUGAAUCUGGAUUCUAAGAGCAAUGGAAAAUCAUUGAUGAACUUUUAAAAGGGUGAGUGUGCAUGUGUUUACAUGCAUUUACUUGUGUUAGUAUGUGGGGAGGGGAUCAGAUUUACACUAUAGAACAUUUCAUUAGGCUUUUAUUUUUCAAAUAUUCAAUAGCCACUUGGGGGAAAGGAUGUGCGGGGAAGACUGAUGAAAAGGUCAAUACUGUUGACCAGGUGAAAUAUGAUGUUGGCUCAGAAUGAUAGCAGGAAGAUGGAAGGAAAUGGACACACUUAGGACCUAUUUAGCAGAUAAGCUCAGGAGUACCUGUUGGUGGGUUAGAUGUAGAGGGCAGGAGAGGAGGAGAUGUGUAUGGAUCCAGAUUAAUUCUGGCUGCUGCAGCUUAUUAAAGGAUAGUCCCAAUCCUGAGCUAGGGUGCACCAUCAGGACCAACUGGAGGACUAGGCUGAGAGGUCAACUGACUUGAGACAUCCAAGGGAGUCUCUAAAGUAUGAAAUGCUACUCAGAGAUUACAUGAGAUGAGAAUGGAAAACUGUCUGCUGUGUUUAGCAACUUGCAGAUCAUUACUAGCCUUUGUGUGCAUUGUCUGGGUGGAGGAAAGAACCAGAUCUGGGGUGACUGAGAAUGAGAUGUUAACAAAAGCAGCCAGGUUUCCAGAUCCUUAGUUUUGCCAGGGCGGAGAGACGGAGGGUGUCCGUUGGAGGAGAAGGAGGGUGUUGAGUGAGAGCUUGUUCUUUUUAAUGGGAGAGCACUUAUGGGGGAAUCCAAUUGGAAUACAGAGAUUGCAUGUACAGAAGAGACAAGAGAUCACUGAAACUUAAAAUUAAGUCCUCCUGCUGGGCAGUGACUGAGCUGGGUUUGAGCCCAGGGUUUUGCUGGUAGCACACAAAGCCCAAGCUCCUCCUUUAGGCCACACUGCAUCUGCCAGGGCAAGUCUCAACUGCAGGUGUGGGAUUUGUAUGUCUGGGGGACUUCACUGGAGGUUGUGAUCAAUAGGCCCCUUCUGGUCCCUGUAGGAUGACAUCUCCCCACCACCACCACCACCACAAACCCUCCCUGAGCAGUCUCAAACUCUUCUAAGAUGCAAUUAUCAAGAACCACAAGGCGGGGGAUGUCUAGGUGGCUCAGUGGUUGAAUGUCUGCCUUUGGCUCCCCUGCAGGGAGCCUGCUUGUCCCUCAGCCUGUCUCUGUCUCUUUCUGUGUGUCUCUAUGAAUAAAUACAUGAAAAAAAAAUAACCCACAAGGCCAGCCCUCAGAGAACACUGAUCAUAGUCCUACUAACUCAGCAAUGAUUAAGACCCCCUGUUCCCCAAUCUGUUCCUGGUUUGCCAUCCUGGGAUGUCAGCAUUUACCCAGAGCCCCCCUGGUUGCAGGACACAGCAGCUAAAACCACAGGGGCUGACAAAAACAAUGGGAGUCACAGUGACUGCUUUUGCUGAGCCUUACUUUGGGACUUUGUCCACACUAGAGACAGGCUCAUUUUUCACUAACACAAGUUGUACUUGUUUUGCUCCAUCUGCUGAGAAAUAAUUUCCUCGGGAAGAGACUGGGACCCAGACUUGAAUAUUUGGCUUAGGGUAGGUCUGGUCCUUGAAUGCCCUAUGAUGUCUGCUUCUCCCACUUCCCAGUUACUGCGGAGGCUGGGGAAGGACUCAUGCUCUCUGCACAAGGAGCAGUUAAAGCUGGAUUUGGAGCCUGGUUGGCUCAGGGCCUCUGGGAUUUAGACCCAUCCAGGCUGGACUCCUCCUGUUUCCUUUGUGGUCUCUCUUGUACCUUUCCAAUUUGAAUUUGUUUAAAAUUGUCACUAGAUUGUACAACCUUGCUUCAAAAGACUUUUUCCAUUGUGAAAUAAAGAGUCUUUAAAAUAUGUAAAUGCUUAUGCAAAAUGUGCCUUCCCACCACCAAUUCCUCCUUCCUAUCCCAGUCCUGCCGCUCAGACUGCAGUGGUUCAGAGGAUAGAUGAGGUCACAGAGGAGCAGGAAUCUGGGGCAGAUGUUUCCAUGACUACCACUUACUGAGCACUUACUCUGUGCUAGGAAAUAUGCCAAGCCCAUUACAUGCAUUAUCUCAUUUUCCUUCACAACAACUCUUAGGGUUAGAUUAUUAUUAUUAUUAUUUUAUUUUAACAGAGGGAUUGAGUAACUUGUUCGAGAACACAUAGCUUCUGGCAGGGCCAGGGUUGUAAGCGUGGCUCACAUAACUGAAAUCCAAUACCCGUGAGCGCAGUGCUUUCUAGUCAGAUGUCUCCUCAGCCAGGUAUGAUGAUGGUGGUGCUGGAGGGUUGAAGAUCCAAAAGGGGAAGGUUUGAGUCAUCUGGGUGCGACUGCCUUAGGAGAGCAGGCCUCAGACCUACUACCAUAUUCUGAGUAAUGGAAAGGCAGACUCCGAGGUCAGAAACGGGUUCGAAUAUCGCUUGGGCACUCAGGACUGGGGAGUUCCAGGCAAGCCGAGUAUGCAACCUCAGCCUGUUCCUCACCUAUCAAUGGUGAUUUACAUAGAAAAUGAAAAAAAUUUCACCAUUCACAUAGUAAACAAAGGCAUUCUCAAUAAACCAGGCUUGUCAACUCUGUGAAUGCUUCUGGAAGAAUACAUAGGGUUUUACAGAGGGUCUCAGAUGAAAGGAAGGCUUCUCUUGCAUUAUUUUACCUUCACUUGAAAUGUCUGGCCAUGUGAAUGAAAUACAUUUCCAAUUUUUAAAAUGUUAAUUAAAAUAAAUAUUUAUUGAAGGAAUACACUGGGUAUGAAAAUUCAUUGCAAAGACAUCUUUUUGGUUUAAAUUUAGACUUUCUCUUCCCUCCCCCCCAACCCAAUCUUCUUUUCCCUUCUCCUCCCUUUCUUCUUUAAUAUAUUGUGCCCACAAGGGGAUUAAAGUGGCUUAAUUAAAAUAUUGCAAUUUAAAAAGAACACAUUGUACUCUACCCUUUGAGAAAUUCAUUUCAGGAGCUGAUCCUUGGUGGCUUGGCACAGGAGGCUGCCUCACCAAGGAGUGGGCUGUCUCUGAGCCUUCAGGAAACUGUUUCCUUCAUAGGAUAAACUUGAAAUCAUCUUGAUUUUUUUGGGGGGCGGGGGGAGAGGAUUAGUUUCUAGUGACCUUUAUGAUCAAACUUAAAUGUUUGCAUGUAUUAUUUUUUUUUUCAUUCGGGCAGCUUUUAUUGACUGUCUACUGUCAGCCACGGACAUGUCAGUGUUUGAGGAGGUAGAUGGGAGUUUUAUAACCUCAGCUUUUUACCAGUAGGCAAUCUAAGAGACUGAGACAAGUGAGAUGGCAGUAAGACAACCAGCAUUCCCGGAAUUAAUCACUUUUGUCUCUCCUUCAUGAGACCAGGGGCCAUAAAACAGGGUCAGCUAAUGACGGCUCAUGGCCAAAGCUGACCCGGGGCCAAAUCCAAUUUAUGGUUGAGUCACCCCACUCUCUCUUUUUGUAAACAAAGUUUUAUUGAAACACACAGCCACAUCCAUCUGUUUAUAUGUUGUCUCUGGCUGCUUUCCCACCAAAAUGACUGAGUUGAAUAGUUAUAACAGCAACUAUAUGACUCUCAAAGCCUGAACUACUUAUUCUCUGGCCUGAACAGAAGAAGUUUGCUGACCCCUGUUAUAAACUCACCUGAGCAAAAAAGAGUCCAAUGCGUCAUGUGGAGCUACAACCAGAACUAAACCUGUCUUAGUAGGGAUUAGGAGACAGAAGAAAUUGAGAGUCUGGUGGUCGUUUGAGGACUGAACCUUAGCAUAGUUCAGCAUGCACUUUUUCUAGAAGAGCGCUCAUGCAUCACGACAGUACAGGCAAGCAGAAUAAUGGAGUUCAGCAAUGAGUAAAGUCAGAGCAGGUUCCACCCACAUUUGCUUUUCUUGGCCAGUGGUACAUGUGAGAGAGGAUGGAUAAAUGUCAUAAGUCUACACUCAUGGGUGCAGCUAGAAGUAUGGGAUUUGAUGAGCACCUAGCUGCAUGAGCAAAUCAUAAAAACAUAUUGCAUGAAAAAAGUAGUGUUUAUGUCAAAACUGUUUAUGUCAAAAAUAGAUGCGUACAGAUCAACAAUUUACAUCCUGUUACAUCACUUAUAAGCAAAAGGUCUGCAUUAAACACAUUGCCUUGUGGGAGAGGACAAAGGGAGUGGCUGUGGGAAUAAGAAUGAAUCAAUCACCUCAUGAGACAAUGAGGAGACCUCACGCAGACAGAUGAUGACACUGUGCAGUGAGUGGAACAGUUUAAUCAACUCAGGUCCCCAGCACCUGAGGUCUGAGGACAACAUAACCAAAUGGAAGGAAGGGAU